AAGUAGCAGGAGGGAGCUGUCAAGGCGUGGAGUUCACACUCAAACACUCCCAGAGGACGGCACUCUGCAUGGGACGCCAUCCAGCUCCUUUGACUGUGGAAUCAAGUACAUUAUCAGCUGGCCCCUGGCUCCUGGCUGUGACCUCCCUUCGCUUGAACUGAGCCUUGUGUGUAAGGGCGUAUCAAGUUGUAUGGGCUUCGCCGCUGGGUGACCCCAAAUGCAACUCCAGGAAGCAUGGGUUACCAAUGACUUUAAGGUUAACGAUCAGCUGGGCGCGGUGGCUGACGCCUGUAAUCCCAGCACUUUGGGAGGUCGAGGCGAAUGGAUCACGAGGUCAGGAGUUCAAGACCAGCCUGGCCAACAUGGCUUAUCAAAGUUUUGGCUUUGUUGCAAGAGCAGGUCAAGAUUUAGCUGUUCUUCAGUGAACAAGUGUGCAGAUUGUCAAAUAUGUCAGUUCAUCAAAUAAGAAAACAUGCAGUUCUCCCACCUAUCAUUUGUA
rnacentral:lncRNA from 1 species